AAGAACCCUGCAGGACAAUAAUGGCGGGUAUGUAUUUACGUCGAUGGACGAAAUAUUGAUUGGUACCCGAACGAACUGUCAUUGGCGAUCUAAUGUAUUACGAUUGUUCGGUUUCAGAUUUGUAUGCUAAAUACAACUGCACCUAUUGUCAAGAGGAUAUCUCGGGCCUACGUGUCAGAUGUGUAGAAUGCCCAGAUUUCGACCUCUGUUUGCAGUGUUUUUCCGCUGGAGCUGAAAUUGGCCCACAUAAAAAUGAUCACUCUUAUCAGUUUAUGGAUUCUGGCACCAUUAGUAUAUUCAAUGGUAGAGGGAAUUGGACUGCUAGGGAACAACUUAGACUUUUGGAUGCCAUUGAACAGUUUGGUUUUGGAAAUUGGGAAGACAUUAGCAAACAUAUUGAAACACGUUCACCAGAAGAAGCAAAAGAAGAAUAUAUUGCUAGAUACCUUGAUGGCAAUAUUGGAAAACACACAUGGCCUCCUACAGAAAGCUAUAAACCAAAUCUUACAGAUCAAACUAAGUCAGAUCAUGGACCUCUAUCGCCUGAUCUCACAUCUCGGUUACCACCUUUGGAUAUCACUCCAGAAGAAGCUGCACAACUGGGAUAUAUGCCACAACGAGAUGAUUUUGAAAGGGAUUACAAUCAUGAAGCAGAGUCACUUGUUUCUUCAUUAUUCUUGAAUCCUGCAGAAGAUGAUGAUUUGGACAUAGCACUUAAACUUGCACAAGUUGAUAUGUAUACCAAUAAUUUAAGAGAAAGAGCGCGACGAAAAAGAGUCGUACGGGAUUACCAGCUUGUUUCUGCGUUUUUUGCUUCGUCUAGAAAAGAUAAGACAGUGAAGAGAAAACAAUCGAAGGAGGAAAAAGAGUUUAGGGAUAGGAUGCGAGUAUUUGCACAGUUUUACACAGCACAGGAAUACGAACAGUUUCUAACAAAUCUUGAAAGAGAAAGAGAAGUACGAUUACGUCUUUCAGAAUUGUAUCGUUACCGAGAGCAUGGUAUUACAAGACACGAAGAAUGUGCUCAUUUCGAACAAGUGAUAGCACAAACUCAGGGACAAAAUGAUGCAGUGGAUCACUGGCAUGAAAAGAAAUCUGGCAGCAGUGGGCCGUCCACACCAAUACACCGCCACACCUCAAAAAAAAGAGAAGAAGAAAAAAAUUACUCUUCCACCGACCGAAAGUACAUUGCAAAAGACUUACCCAGCAGCAGCUUCUCAAUCAAUCAAACCAAUCCCAAUCGGAUGACGACUCCAGCCAAUCAGUGGGUGGAGCCGGAUAACAAUCCAAAUUGUUCCAGCCAGCAUUCUACCAGCUCCAGUUCUGCCGCAGAAAAGAAUUAUACUGCGGCUACUUCCGGAAAAUCUUGUGCGACAACAGGAGACUCAGAGGAACGGGAUAUAGAAAUGGAAGCAGCGGCUCAUUUAUUAACAAAACAAGAAAAGUCUCUGUGUCUUCAACUUGAUUUGAAGCCAACACAGUAUAUAACACAAAAGACGUUGUUGUUGCAAGAAUAUCUAAAUGGUAAUAGAAGAUCAGGCGUUGUACCUCAGUCGGAACCAGAGAGUAAGAUAUUACAUUAUCUGGUAGCAAAUGGCUGGAUCGCGGCCAAUUGAUUAAAUAUGUAAAAAAUUAACGACCAUUUCAACUCUAAGUCACCUUUUAUUUUGCAAACUAAGUCCUAGAUUCUUGAAACGAUUCAAAGGAUAUUCCUUAUUGAUAAAGGAUGGUACAAAGAGCAGGUUAUAAGAGGAUAUUUGUUAUUACAAUGAAGAUACUAUGGUAUUAGGUAAUUUAUCUGUUGCCUGUGUAAUAUUUGUAUAUAUGAACGAAAAAUAGUACCUUCUUAGUGAUACUACUUUUAAAGCACAAAACGUAAUCGCGGUAUAAACUAACGAAGAGUUAAGCGCAUAGUGUGAUAAUGAUGGUGUUCGAAGCCAAACUCGUAUUACAAAAAAAGACACUUUAACGUUUAAAAAAAACGCUAAUCAUUUUCCAUUGCUUCUAAUAGUAGCUAUUUAUAAUUUUAAAUUAUUAAAUGAAGAAAGGAGGAGUAAGAUAUUAAAUUUGUGGAUGAGAAGAAGAUAUACCCUGGAUAGACGAUAUACCGCGUUAACAACAGCUUUUGUUUAACUUAAACGUACAAGGUGGAAAUAUCGAGAAACAACACUAUUUGCUCGAUGGCAAAGUUCAUACCAUUUGUAUCCUUGUAUGCUUAGGAAACCGGAAAAAAUCUAAAAAAAGAUUAGUCGUUUGCUUUAACGUAAUUCAGUACUUCCAAGAAGAUCUUCGUUUACAUAAGUCUCGAACGGCUUAAAUUCGAGAGAAAGAUUAAAAUGUGAAAAGUUUAUCUUGUAUUAUUAUAUAUGCAAAUGUAAAAAAAUAUGUGAAAAAGAUAUAUAUAUAUACAUAUGUACAUAUACGAAAAAGAAAAUUACUUACGAUCGUAGGUAAUUAUUAAAAAAAGUCAUAUAUUUGAAGAGAAAAAAGAAAUCUAAAAAAAUACCUUUCAUUUCGAAAUAAUACUUAUUGUGGCAUAUUGCUUAAGUACUAAAUAGCUGGAUAACAAAGUAGGGAAAUAGCU